AUUAUUAAAAUAUAGAUUUUAUUUUUAGAUUAGUAUUAGAUAUAGUGAUGAAAUUAAAAUAAUUUGGCGGUAUUUUAGUCUAUUCAGAGGAAUUUGUUUUAUAAUUGAUAUUCCUCAUUAUAUUUUACUUAUUUUAUUAAAUUUGUAUAUCGUUGUCAUUAGAAUAUAUUGUAAAAAUAAUAAUUUUCUAAAAUUAUUUAAAAUUUUAUGUCAAAUCAAGGUGCAGUUUAUAUUUAAGAAAAAAUGAAUUACAAUAAUAUAAAAUUAAUAUGAAUUAAAAAUUGAAAUAUUUUUAUGAAGGUGGAUUUGAGAGUAAAUUUAAUAAGAAUGUUAAAUUGAUUAUAGCUCUAAAAUAUGUAC
rnacentral:rRNA from 1 species